CCUGCCCUAGGCGUGUCCCCCCACCAGCUGCACUCCAGCAGCGUCUUUGCUGCCAGCGGGGGGGGGGGGGGCUCCUGAGUCUGCUUUAACGAAUCUCUUCCAUCAUUUUCAGGAGUCCAAGCAGAAGGUGAGGCCAUUGUAGGAAGGGAGAGCAGUUUUGCCUGAAACUGGGGAGACAGGAAGCUUGAAACGUGUUUUACGAAAGCAAAUUGUUCCAUAUGCGGAGGACCCCCUGCUUGGCCUUCCCAACAUCAUUGGUACUGACGUGUACCAUGAUCACUGGCUCCUCCCCAGCACUGUCUACCAGCCUAUCUAGACGCAGCGUGAUGUCCNCAACCUUUGCACCCGGCAGGUCUGCUACCUUGGAUUCAAGGGAAGGAACCCGUUCUCUGAGAGCCCAGAGCUCAUUACACCGAGCACCACCCAGGACUUCUGCCCAGCAGGCAGAUAAUCAUACGUAUAACACUCAUUGCAAUACACUGGAAAGCCCCCCUCCUGCUGCUGGCUAUCUACUUUCAUUAAUUUUUUUUUUUAUUAUUUUUGUUACUGUUUAAAUUGUUUUGCUUUUUAAAAUUACUUAAAUUUUAGUUUUGGUUACUAUGUAGAUUAUUUUUCUUUUUCUUUGCAUUAUUUAAAUUAGUCCUUUAAAAAAAUAUUGUUGCU
rnacentral:lncRNA from 1 species